rnacentral:rRNA from 1 species
GAUGAACGCUAGCUACAGGCUUAACACAUGCAAGUCGAGGGACCGGCGCACGGGUGAGUAACACGUAUCCAACCUGCCCUUUACUCGGGGAUAGCCUUUCGAAAGAACGAUUAAUACCCGAUGUAACGGAUGGCGCUGCGUUCCAUUAGGUUGUUGGUGAGGUAACGGCUAACCCAGCCUUCGAUGGAUAGGUGUUCUGAGAGGAAGGUCCCCCACAUUGGAACUGAGACACGGUCCAAACUCCUACGGGAGGCAGGAGUGAGGAAUAUUGGUCAAGGGGCGUUAGCCUGAACCAGCCAAGUAGCGUGAAGGAGGAAGGCUUAUGGGUCGUAAACUUCUUUUAUAGAAGAAUAUGUAUUAUAUGAAUAAGGAUCGGCUAACUCCGUGCCAGCAGCCGCGGUAAUUC